UGGAUGAAUAAAUAAAGAAAGAGGAGCAUAAUACAUAAAAAGUUAUCCACUAUUCAUCAUCUUCUUUAUUCUACAUACAUUUUUUUAUAGUAGAAAUACUGCACAAAAUAGAUCCACGUGUGUAUUGUCUUCCAAAGACACCAGUUUGCCAUUUUUUAAGAUCAACAAUAUACAUCAUGUAUGUAUAAAUUUACCGUUCUUCAUGUCUUGGCUAUCAAAAGGUGAAGAGAAUACUUUCCUGUAAAUUUUAAGAUUUGCAUGUAUGUUGCAUGUAUUUUGCACUAAAAACUGCUCAAGGAAGAAGAGGAUUUGCAGAGAUUUUGGACCGUUUAGAUUGAAACUGGAGAGGAAUUCUAGGAAUUUUGAAUACGUCAUUAUAGAAUCACUUUGCAUAAAAGACGAUAGUUGUGAUCACUGAUCAUUUUUCAUUUUGUCACUUUUAUUUGGGUCUUUUUACAUUAAGAUGAUAAUAGUUAAAAUAUUUUUUAGCCCCUGUUUGGUGGAUAUUAAAAU
rnacentral:lncRNA from 1 species